GCCGAGGUAGCUCAGUUGGUAGAGCAGUGGAUUGAAGAUCCGCGUGUCGAGGGUUCGAGCCCCUCCCGAGGCGCCA
rnacentral:tRNA from 1 species